AGUGAACGCUGGCGGUAGGCCUAACACAUGCAAGUCGAACGGCAGCACAGUAAGAGCUUGCUCUUACGGGUGGCGAGUGGCGGACGGGUGAGGAAUACAUCGGAAUCUACUUUUUCGUGGGGGAUAACGUAGGGAAACUUACGCUAAUACCGCAUACGACCUACGGGUGAAAGCAGGGGAUCUUCGGACCUUGCGCGAUUGAAUGAGCCGAUGUCGGAUUAGCUAGUUGGCGGGGUAAAGGCCCACCAAGGCGACGAUCCGUAGCUGGUCUGAGAGGAUGAUCAGCCACACUGGAACUGAGACACGGUCCAGACUCCUACGGGAGGCAGCAGUGGGGAAUAUUGGACAAAGGGCGCAAGCCUGAUCCAGCCAUACCGCGUGGGUGAAGAAGGCCUUCGGGUUGUACAGCCCUUUUGUUGGGAAAGAAAAGCAGCAGGUUAAUACCCCGCUGUUCUGACGGUACCCAAAGAAUAAGCACCGGCUAACUUCGUG
rnacentral:rRNA from 1 species